GUCUCUGUAGCGCAAAUUAUAGCGCGUUGGACUUUUAAUACAAAAGUCGUGGGUACAAAUCCCACCUGGGGCG